CGAGGGGCUGAGCGAGAGCCUCCGACUUCCUCCUGGCCCAGGCGAGCGCAGCAGCCGCAGGCGAUGUGUCCCGGCCGGCGCUGCUGGGGCCUCGGCUCCCUCCUGCUGCUGCUGCUGCUGCUCGGGCGAAACCUGGGCUUCCUCGUGGAAAUCCCCCAGGAUGCAGUCACUGGCACCGUGGGGCAGUCCGUGCUCCUGCCCGUCUCCUACAGAUGCGACAGCACCUCUUGCUUCCCACUGUCAAUUAGGUGGCUGUUUGGUCACACCUCACAAGUAAUCAUCGCUUGCUCAGUGCGGAAGUGCUCCCUGGAUGAUGGGGGGGCUCCCAAGAACUGCUCCACAGAAUGUUACCCCUAUCCUGCACACUGGGGCCGUGUUGAGCUCUUCCCCAAGAACGCAUCCCUGCUGCUGCGGGACCUGCGGCUCAGUGACAGCGGGGUGUACACCGUCAGCCUCCAGCACCAAAUACAAAUCAGGCACAUCACCCUGACCGUGCUCCAGCAGCCUGUCCCCACAGGUCCUACCAGCAAAGGCACUUCUCAACCAGCAGGAAGAAUAGCCACACGCAUCCCUUGCUGCAUCCUCGGAGGCUGCUACUGCUUCAUCCUGCUGCUCCUGCAGCUGCUCUUCCACCUGUGCUGGCUGCGGGGCAGCCGUGGGGAAGCCUGCGGCUGCUGCUGGGGAGAAGGGAGCCAGCGUGCGGGAGCAGCCAGGGCCGGGGCACAAUGAAGUGCCCAGAUUGGGGGCACAGGGGACACCCCACAGCCCCCUCUGUCCCCGCAGCCCCAAAGCGUGCAGGUGGCACAGGAAGGAGCCGGGGCUCGCCCGCCCGCCCGCAGCGAACCCCACGGCGCCGAGGGGCUGAGCGAGAGCCUCCGACUUCCUCCUGGCCCAGGCGAGCGCAGCAGCCGCAGGCGAUGUGUCCCGGCCGGCGCUGCUGGGGCCUCGGCUCCCUCCUGCUGCUGCUGCUGCUGCUCGGGCGAAACCUGGGCUUCCUCGUGGAAAUCCCGCAGGAUGCAGUCACUGGCACCGUGGGGCAGUCCGUGCUCCUGCCCGUCUCCUACAGAUGCAACAGCUCCCCUUGCUUCCCACUGUCAAUUAGGUGGAUGUUUGGUCACACCUCACAAGUGAUCAUCGCUUGCUCAGUGCGGAAGUGCUCCCUGGAUGAUGGGGGGGCUCCCAAGAUCUGCAGCAAAAAGUGUUACCCCUAUCCUGCACACUGGGGCCGUGUUGAGCUCUUCCCCGAGAACGCAUCCCUGCUGCUGCGGGACCUGCGGCUCAGUGACAGCGGGGUGUGCACCGUCAGCCUCCAGCACCAAAGACAAAGCAGGCACAUCACCCUGACCGUGCUCGAGCAGCCUGUCCCCACAGGUCCUACCAGCAAAGGCAUCAGCAAGCAAGACCACAUACAAAACUACAUAAUUGGAGCUUGCUCAUUAAUCUUCCUCCUUCUGCUGUUCCUGGUCUUCUGCGUUUGGCGCUGGGUGCAGAAGAAGAAGCUGAGAAUCGUUAAACAACAGCAGGUACAGAAAAAAAAAAUUUUUUUGAACAUUCUUUAGUUAAAUGCUAACUGCUGGCUUGAAUAAGAUGCACUGAGCUACAAGAAUUGGUUGCUGAAUUUAAAAUUAGGAAGUGAAUUCUGUGUUGUAAGGGCAAGCUGCAAAGUGGAGCCCCCCGAGGAUAACACUGCGGUGGGGGAAGUAACAACCAUUUAUUCCAGAGUCGGAGACAGCUUUGAACAUCCAGAGCUGAGAGAAUCAGCACAGGUCAUCUACUCGUCCAUAACCUCCCUCAAUUCCUGAGGACAGGACUGGGCACCACCAGCUCCUGCUUUGGCUGCGGGAGCUGCCCGCAGAGCUCUGAACUUUGCAGGAGAGAGCCCUGCCGAAAAGGUGGCUGGUGAUUUUGUCACUGACCAGAGAAAGGGGCCCAAGGUAAAGGCAAAUCAGCCGUGCAUCCAUGGGAAGCCUGAUUCCACUGACUCACCUUAAUCUGAGGGCUAACGGAGAGCACUGGAUGUAUUUCAGUCCUGUGCUCCAGGGUCAC